UGGCCGAUUUUGGCACUAGCACAUUUUUGCUUGUGUCUCUCCGCUCCGAGCAAUCAUGUGCAGUGCCAAUAUGGGAAA
rfam:Myotis lucifugus cont2.16917, whole genome shotgun sequence.